CACCGCGGUUAUACGAGAGGCUCAAGUUGAUAAACCCCGGCGUAAAGAGUGGUUAAGGAAGAUUAAAAACUAAAGCCGAAUGCUUUCAAAGCUGUUAUACGCUUCCGAGAGUAAGAAGAUCAACUACGAAAGUGACUUUAUAGCCCCUGACCCCACGAAAGCUAUGGCA
rnacentral:rRNA from 1 species